CGGGGUGCACCGGCGCGAAAACUUUACCAUGCUGGCAACAGCGAUAAGGGGACCUCGAGUGCCAGGAUACAAUCUUGGCUGUCGCGAUGCCUAAAAAGCAUUGCAUAGCAAGGGCCGGGCAAGACCGGUGCCAGCCGCCGCGGUAACACCGGCGGCUCGAGUGGUAACCGCUAUUAUUGGGUCUAAAGGGUCUGUAGCCGGCCGGAUAAGUCUUUUGGGAAAUCCAGCUGCUCAACAGUUGGGCUUUCAGAAGAUACUGUUCGGCUCGAGACCGGGAGAGGUGAGAGGUACUUCAGGGGUAGGGGUGAAAUCUUGUAAUCCUUGAAGGACCACCAGUGGCGAAGGCGUCUCACCAGAACGGAUCUGACGGCAAGGGACGAAAGCUAGGGGCACGAACCGGAUUAGGUACCCGGGUAGUCCUAGCCGUAAACGAUACUCGCUAGGUGUCAGCCACGGUGCGACCGUGGUUGGUGCCGUAGGGAAGCCGUGAAGCGAGCCACCUGGGAAGUACGGCCGCAAGGCUGAAACUUAAAGGAAUUGGCGGGGGAGCAC
rnacentral:rRNA from 1 species